rnacentral:misc_RNA from 1 species
UCCGAGUUGACCCCGGCAGUCUCCUACGAGUCCCCGGCAUUACCCGCUGGCAACAUAGGACAAGGGUUGCGCUCGUUGCGGGACUUAACCCAACACCUCACGGCACGAGCUGACGACAGCCAUGCACCACCUGUGAAGGUGCCCCGAAGGGAGACCGUGUUUCCACGGCUGUCACCUACAUGUCAAGCCCAGGUAAGGUUCUUCGCGUUGCGUCGAAUUGAACCACAUGCUCCGCUGCUUGUGCGGGUCCCCGUCAAUUCCUUUGAGUUUUAGCCUUGCGGCCGUACUCCCCAGGCGGGAUGCUUAACGCGUUAGCUUCUCAACGCAAAGGGUCGAUACCCCCGACACCUAGUACUCAUCGUUUACGGCGUGGACUAC